rnacentral:rRNA from 1 species
CCUACGGGAGGCAGCAGUGGGGAAUAUUGCACAAUGGGGGAAACCCUGAUGCAGCGACGCCGCGUGAGUGAAGAAGGAUUUCGGUAUGUAAAGCUCUAUCAGCAGGGAAGAAAAUGACGGUACCUGAUUAAGAAGCCCCGGCUAACUACGUGCCAGCAGCCGCGGUACUACGUAGGGGGCAAGCGUUAUCCGGAUUUACUGGGUGUAAAGGGAGCGUAGACGGCAGCACAAGUCUGGAGUGAAAUGCCGGGGCUUAACCCCGGAACUGCUUUGGAAACUGUGCAGCUAGAGUGCAGGAGAGGUAAGUGGAAUUCCUAGUGUAGCGGUGAAAUGCGUAGAUAUUAGGAGGAACACCAGUGGCGAAGGCGGCUUACUGGACUGUAACUGACGUUGAGGCUCGAAAGCGUGGGGAGCAAACAGGAUUAGAUACCCUGGUAGUC